UAGUCCACGCUGUAAACGAUGUCGAUUUGGAGUUUGGGGGCAUGACCCUUGGGCUCCGGAGCUAACGCGUUAAAUCGACCGCUGGGGAGUACGGCCGCAAGGUUAAAACUCAAAUGAAUUGACGGGGGCCCGCACAAGCGGUGGAGCAUGUGGUUUAAUUCGAUGCAACGCGAAGAACCUUACCUGGUCUUGACAUCCAUAGAAUCUUUCAGAGAUGAGAGAGUGCCUUCGGGAGCUAUGAGACAGGUGCUGCAUGGCUGUCGUCAGCUCGUGUUGUGAAAUGUUGGGUUAAGUCCCGCAACGAGCGCAACCCCUAUCCUUUGUUGCCAGCACGUAAUGGUGGGAACUCAAAGGAGACUGCCGUUGAUAAAGCGGAGGAAGGUGGGGACGACGUCAAGUCAUCAUGGCCCUUACGACCAGGGCUACACACGUGCUACAAUGGCGUAUACAAAGGGAUGCGAAGGUGCGAACUGGAGCGGACCUCACAAAGUACGUCUAAGUCCGGAUUGGAGUCUGCAACUCGACUCCAUGAAGUCGGAAUCGCUAGUAAUCGUGAAUCAGAAUGUCACGGUGAAUACGUUCCCGGGCCUUGUACACACCGCCCGUCACACCAUGGGAGUGGGUUGCACCAGAAGUAGAUAGCUUAACCUUCGGGAGGGCGUUUACCACGGUGUGGUUCAUGACUGGGGUGAAGUCGUAACAAGGUAACCA
rnacentral:rRNA from 1 species